GUAUAUAUAAGUCGUGACAAUCUCGAUGCAGCAACUCCUUUGCCACAAUUCACUUGAAAUUGUUCUCGCCGGUACCGUACUUCAAAGCACUCACCGGUAUGUCUCGCAUUUCUGGCUUGCUGAUGGGUGCAGCUGCUAUUAUAGCAACCCUGCUCAUCGUGGUGACAGAAACAGGUGCUCAAGAAAGUAUGCGGGCACGAGCGGAUGAAUAUAAUCCAAACGCUUACCGAUACUAGAGCACAUGUUGGUCAGGCAUUAGAUACUAGCGGUGUGAGUCUACAAGCCGUGAAAUGUUUCCACAUUUACCACCAGCGAAUUCACUACUGGUUGUCGGGCACAUGUAAAUUGAAAACACGUGCAAAUAAAUGUGCAUGGUGCUUAUACUCUGUUUAGUACACUAUGUUUUAUGUGGAAAGGUAACUGUCGUAAAACAUUAUGAGGAAAAGUUCACCAAUAAAUGUUCUAUUGUAACAUA